GCGGUAGUGGCGGAAUCGGCAGACGCGCUAGAUUCAGGUUCUAGUGGGUGCAAGCCCGUGGAGGUUCAAGUCCUCUCUACCGCACCA
rnacentral:tRNA from 1 species